UGGGGAAUAUUGCACAAUGGAGGGAACUCUGAUGCAGCGACGCCGCGUGAACGAAGAAGGCUUUCGAGUCGUAAAGUUCUUUUAUAUGGGAAGAUAAUGACGGUACCAUAAGAAAAAGCCCCGGCUAACUACGUGCCAGCAGCCGCGGUAAUACGUAGGGGGCUAGCGUUGUCCGGAAUCACUGGGCGUAAAGGGUUCGCAGGCGGAAAUGCAAGUCAGGUGUAAAAGGCAGUAGCUUAACUACUGUAAGCAUUUGAAACUGCAUAUCUUGGGAAGAGUAGAGGUAAGUGGAAUUUUUAGUGUAGCGGUGAAAUGCGUAGAUAUUAAAAAGAAUACCGGUGGCGAAGGCGACUUACUGGGCUCAUUCUGACGCUGAGGAACGAAAGCGUGGGUAGCAAAGAGG
rnacentral:rRNA from 1 species